UACGGGGGGAGCAAGCGUUGUUCGGAUUUACUGGGCGUAAAGAGCGCGCAGGCGGCUGGUCAAGUCCGAUGUGAAAUCUCCCGGCUUAACUGGGAAACUGCAUCGGAAACUGAUCGGCUUGAAGGUGGGAGAGGGUAGUGGAAUUCCCGGUGUAGUGGUGAAAUGCGUAGAUAUCGGGAGGAACACCAGUGGCGAAGGCGGCUUCCUGGACCGGUUCUGACACUGAGGAGCGAAAGCGUGGGGAGCGAUCCGG
rnacentral:rRNA from 1 species